rnacentral:lncRNA from 1 species
GCAGAAGAUCACCUAAAAAUUUAUCUAAAAGGGAUGUAUUAAUCACCUGGGUUGCCUGGCUUAAAAAGCACCAGCACUGCCUUUUUGUAGGGUUGUAGCAUUGUUCUUUUUAGGUUUUACAGUACAUUUUGAAUGUCUUAACUUGGCUGUCAAUCUGGUACUCUGAAUUUGUCCUUCAGUGUGGUGAUCCGAAGCACGUGUCUGACGAUCCUUUCAUGGGUAGCUUCCACUAAGUUAGAUCUCCGUACCUGUUUUGACGUUGGAUUUUGAAAAUCUCUAGCUAAGUGUUUAAUAAUGAACUUUGAGUAUACGGGGUUUCAAAUUGGAAAGCAGGGUAAUAAAUGU